rnacentral:misc_RNA from 1 species
GUCAUCAUGGGUUUAUAAGAAUUAUGAAAGAAAUUUGGAGUUAAUGUUAUUUAGAGAUUUACUGACUAAGUACUAACAUAUAAAGCUGCUGCAACAGCAGUAACUUUAGCUUAUUCUGUCUGUUUCAGAUUAUUUUCAGUUUACAUCUUCUCUCCCAUAAUUGUUCUCUCAUUUUUUUAAGCAAGCUAUUUCCUUUUCCCAUCGGUGG